rnacentral:rRNA from 1 species
UGCAAGUCGAGCGAGCAGAACCAGCAGAUUUACUUCGGUAAUGACGCUGGGGACGCGAGCGGCGGAUGGGUGAGUAACACGUGGGGAACCUGCCCCAUAGUCUAGGAUACCACUUGGAAACAGGUGCUAAUACCGGAUAAUAAAGCAGAUCGCAUGAUCAGCUUAUAAAAGGCGGCGUAAGCUGUCGCUAUGGGAUGGCCCCGCGGUGCAUUAGCUAGUUGGUAAGGUAACGGCUUACCAAGGCAAUGAUGCAUAGCCGAGUUGAGAGACUGAACGGCCACAUUGGGACUGAGACACGGCCCAAACUCCUACGGGAGGCAGCAGUAGGGAAUCUUCCACAAUGGACGCAAGUCUGAUGGAGCAACGCCGCGUGAGUGAAGAAGGUUUUCGGAUCGUAAAGCUCUGUUGUUGGUGAAGAAGGAUAGAGGUAGUAACUGGCCUUUAUUUGACGGUAAUCAACCAGAAAGUCACGGCUAACUACGUGCCAGCAGCCGCGGUAAUACGUAGGUGGCAAGCGUUGUCCGGAUUUAUUGGGCGUAAAGCGAGCGCAGGCGGAAGAAUAAGUCUGAUGUGAAAGCCCUCGGCUUAACCGAGGAAUUGCAUCGGAAACUGUUUUUCUUGAGUGCAGAAGAGGAGAGUGGAACUCCAUGUGUAGCGGUGGAAUGCGUAGAUAUAUGGAAGAACACCAGUGGCGAAGGCGGCUCUCUGGUCUGCAACUGACGCUGAGGCUCGAAAGCAUGGGUAGCGAACAGGAUUAGAUACCCUGGUAGUCCAUGCCGUAAACGAUGAGUGCUAAGUGUUGGGAGGUUUCCGCCUCUCAGUGCUGCAGCUAACGCAUUAAGCACUCCGCCUGGGGAGUACGACCGCAAGGUUGAAACUCAAAGGAAUUGACGGGGGCCCGCACAAGCGGUGGAGCAUGUGGUUUAAUUCGAAGCAACGCGAAGAACCUUACCAGGUCUUGACAUCUAGUGCCAUCCUAAGAGAUUAGGAGUUCCCUUCGGGGACGCUAAGACAGGUGGUGCAUGGCUGUCGUCAGCUCGUGUCGUGAGAUGUUGGGUUAAGUCCCGCAACGAGCGCAACCCUUAUUAUUAGUUGCCAGCAUUAAGUUGGGCACUCUAAUGAGACUGCCGGUGACAAACCGGAGGAAGGUGGGGAUGACGUCAAGUCAUCAUGCCCCUUAUGACCUGGGCUACACACGUGCUACAAUGGGCAGUACAACGAGAAGCGAGCCUGCGAAGGCAAGCGAAUCUCUGAAAGCUGUUCUCAGUUCGGACUGCAGUCUGCAACUCGACUGCACGAAGCUGGAAUCGCUAGUAAUCGCGGAUCAGAACGCCGCGGUGAAUACGUUCCCGGGCCUUGUACACACCGCCCGUCACACCAUGGAAGUCUGCAAUGCCCAAAGCCGGUGGCCUAACCUUCGGGAAGGAGCCGUCUAAGGCAGGGCAGAUGACUGGGGUGAAGUCGUAACAA